GACGAACGCUGGCGGCGUGCUUAACACAUGCAAGUCGAACGGAAAGGCCCUGCUUGCAGGGUACUCGCGUGGCGAAAGGGUGAGUAACACGUGGGUGAUCUGCCCUGCACUUCGGGAUAAGCCUGGGAAACUGGGUCUAAUACCGGGGAGGAGCCAUUUUGAGUGUGGUGGUUGGAAAGUUUUUUCGGUGUAGGAUGAGCUCGCGGCCUAUCUGCUUGGUGGUGGGGUAAUGGCCUACCAAGGCGGCGGCGGGGAGCCGGCCUGGGGGGGUGGACGGCCAAAAUGGGACUGAGAUUAGGGCCAGGCCCCUACCGGGAGCAGGAGGUGGGGAGAUUUGACAAUGGGGGGAAGCCCGAUGCCACGACGCCGGGGGGGGGAUGACGGGCUUCGGGUUGGAAAACCCUUUCGCUAGGGAAGAAGCUUUUUGUGACGGUACCUAGAGAAGAAGCACCGGCUAACUACGUG
rnacentral:rRNA from 1 species